UAAGAAUCUGAUGUUGGUUACAGUGGUGUCAGUAGUGGGAUACUCAUAUGAAUUUGAAUGAGAAAGACUGAAAUGUUGUUUAAUGUGUGAACCAGGGAGAGCAGUGCGCCAACAGAUGCCUGCAGUGAUUGAUGCUCAGGUUAGACUCGGACCAAGGUAGCUCAUCAUAGGGUGACGGUGCACAGUGGAUGAUAGGUAAGAAUCUGAUGUUGGUUACAGUGGUGUCAGUAGGGGGAUACCCAUGUGAAUUUGACUGGGAAAGACUGAAAUACUGUUUAAUGUGUGAACCAUGGAGAGCAGUGCGCCAACAGAUGUCUGCAGUGA